ACGGGUGAGUAACACGUGAGCAACCUGCCCCUGACUCUGGGAUAAGCGCUGGAAACGGCGUCUAAUACUGGAUAUGUGACGUGACCGCAUGGUCUGCGUCUGGAAAGAAUUUCGGUUGGGGAUGGGCUCGCGGCCUAUCAGCUUGUUGGUGAGGUAAUGGCUCACCAAGGCGUCGACGGGUAGCCGGCCUGAGAGGGUGACCGGCCACACUGGGACUGAGACACGGCCCAGACUCCUACGGGAGGCAGCAGUGGGGAAUAUUGCACAAUGGGCGGAAGCCUGAUGCAGCAACGCCGCGUGAGGGAUGACGGCCUUCGGGUUGUAAACCUCUUUUAGCAGGGAAGAAGCGAAAGUGACGGUACCUGCAGAAAAAGCGCCGGCUAACUACGUGCCAGCAGCCGCGGUAAUACGUAGGGCGCAAGCGUUAUCCGGAAUUAUUGGGCGUAAAGAGCUCGUAGGCGGUUUGUCGCGUCUGCUGUGAAAUCCGGAGGCUCAACCUCCGGCCUGCAGUGGGUACGGGCAGACUAGAGUGCGGUAGGGGAGAUUGGAAAUUCCUGGUGUAGCGGUGGAAUGCGCAGA
rnacentral:rRNA from 1 species